rnacentral:rRNA from 1 species
UACGUAGGGUGCGAGCGUUAAUCGGAAUUACUGGGCGUAAAGUGUGCGCAGGCGGCUUCGCAAGUCGAGUGUGAAAUCCCCGAGCUUAACUUGGGAAUUGCGCUCGAAACUACGGAGCUAGAGUGUGGCAGAGGAAGGUGGAAUUCCACGUGUAGCGGUGAAAUGCGUAGAGAUGUGGAGGAACACCGAUGGCGAAGGCAGCCUUCUGGGCCAACACUGACGCUCAUGCACGAAAGCGUGGGGAGCAAACAGG